UACGUAGGGUGCAAGCGUUGUCCGGAAUUAUUGGGCGUAAAGAGCUCGUAGGCGGUCUGUCGCGUCUGGUGUGAAAACUCAAGGCUUAACCUUGGGCCUGCAUCGGGUACGGGCAGACUAGAGUGCGGUAGGGGAGACUGGAAUUCCUGGUGUAGCGGUGAAAUGCGCAGAUAUCAGGAGGAACACCGGUGGCGAAGGCGAGUCUCUGGGACGGUACUGACGCUGAGACGCGAAAUCGUCGGUAGCGAACAGG
rnacentral:rRNA from 1 species